rnacentral:rRNA from 1 species
AUUGAACGCUGGCGGCAUGCUUUACACAUGCAAGUCGAACGGCAGCGCGGGCUUCGGCCUGGCGGCGAGUGGCGAACGGGUGAGUAAUACAUCGGAACGUGCCCAGUAGUGGGGGAUAGCUCGGCGAAAGCCGGAUUAAUACCGCAUACGACCUGAGGGUGAAAGCGGGGGAUCUUCGGACCUCGCGCUAUUGGAGCGGCCGAUGGCAGAUUAGCUAGUUGGUGGGGUAAAGGCCUACCAAGGCGACGAUCUGUAGCUGGUCUGAGAGGACGACCAGCCACUCUGGGACUGAGACACGGCCCAGACUCCUACGGGAGGCAGCAGUGGGGAAUUUUGGACAAAGGGCGAAAGCCUGAUCCAGCAAUGCCGCGUGUGUGAUGAAGGCCUUCGGGUUGUAAAGCACUUUUGGCGGGAACGAAAAGGACUGUGCCAAUACCACGGUUCGAUGACGGUACCCGCAGAAUAAGCACCGGCUAACUACGUG